AGGAAAAAAAGGGAGGGAGUGACCGACUCACAGUAGGGAACUGGAGUGAUAUAAAGCACAGGGCUUUCUGUCAGGAAGCCAGACUUCUUUCCUCAGAGUUCUGUUACUUGCAAGCAGGAACAAGAGGUGUAGCCAUGCCACCUCCAUGUCCUGCAGACACAGACUUAUACAGCUCCUCACCUUCUAUCCUCUCCACCCACUGGACUCAAAAACAGGUGUCCUGCAAACACUAGCUGCUUCUGAUGUUUGUGUUGAGGCCCAGCCUGGCCUCCACAGGGAGGAACAUACAGAAAACAGUGGCAGUGAGUUCUGCUCCCCCCCCCAGUGCCCAAUUUCGGCAUGCCACUUUGCAUGGCCAAGUGCUGUAAAAGAGAGCUGAGAACAGCAAGAAUGGAAGCAAGCAGGGCUUUUAAACCCAAACCAAACCUUUACAAAGCACCUAACCCGAAAAGUGCUUCGCUGAACAGAGAAUUUCAGCUGGAAACACAGCUUUGUCCGUGGUAUUCGGUAACACCAUAUACACAGCUGCACCCUGCUUGCUGCCCUCAAGUUUUUAAAGCAGAAAACAACUCACUGCACACUAGGCAAAACAGGUGCAGCCAAAAGUGAACAAGGGUGGAGAUUGGGAGGCUUUGGAUUUUCUUGCUGAUAAUGGCUGACAUAACGCUGCAUGCAUGGGAACGAAAGUCAGUGAAGGAUCUGAUGGGCACCAAACAUGCACUGUAAUUUUACGUACCUUGACUUGUACUUUUUACUUACUGAUCUUCCUAACCUGAAUUGUGAUGACUUCAGAGGGAAGGGAGCUGGUAGCAGUAGUUUUUUGUUGUUGCUUUUGCUUUUAUCUGCACAGCUCUAGAUCUGAGAAAAAUAUGAAUAAGAAAAGGAUUUUUCCCAAUCUGUAGAAAUAAAAUGCAGCCAUGUGGAUCCCGACAUACCAACAAGUGUCAGCAUGUCUGAAAUACUGUACCUGUUGUAAUUAAAAUUCACAAGCAACUACAAAA